rnacentral:lncRNA from 1 species
CGAGAGCCCCGGGCAGGGGGCCGCCCUGUGCCCUGCAGGGCCGCGGGGCCGCGUAGCUCUCUCGGUGCGGCGGGCCUGAGUCCUGCUGCCCCUCCAGAUCCCAGUCCAGCUAUAGCCCCCACCAUGGCUGAGGGAGGGGUACCCUCGCCAGGGCCUGGUGCCUACUUCAGCAGGAAAGCCCGACUCUCCUUCCGCCACCAGCUGCAUGACAUAGCAUCGGCCAAUGACUCCACCAUUUGAAGGGGACGACGAGGAGGUGAACCUCCAGGAAGGCUUAGCAAGCUUCCUUCCCCAGAUUUCUCAGCGAUCCUAAUGUCCACCUCCCCAAGUCCUUUCUAACCUUCUCAUCAAAUGUGUUCAUAGUUGCUAAGUGCUGUGUGUGUGUG